rnacentral:rRNA from 1 species
UGAGCCAAGUUUAGGGUUUUCUCAAAACCCAAGCAGUAUUGAACUGAAGAGUUUGAUCAUGGCUCAGAUUGAACGCUGGCGGCAGGCCUAA